UUGUUCUUGUUCUUAUAUUAUUUCAUAACACGUUAUCAGCACGAGACUCUACCAUCUCAAGAAGCACUUUGAGAAGAUUAAGGAGUAAUUCGCUCACACGAAUUUCGCUAAUUCCGGGCAUUAUCCGGGUCACGCUUCAAGAGAUAAGUAUCGAUUUUAUGUUCGAUUAAAAUCUAUAAUUAUGUGUUGUCAAUAUUACAUACAAGUGAUCCUAGCUAUUUACUUCCUCUAUUCCUUUCUUUGUUACAAUUGAAUUGAUGACUGGUUUAAUUUAGUUGUAUAGUGGAACGUNNN
rnacentral:lncRNA from 1 species